rnacentral:lncRNA from 1 species
UUCUAAAUUUUAAAUUAAUAAAUUCAGAUAUAAAUUUAUGAUUAAAACUUAAAUUUUGAAAUUAAUUUUGAAUCCUUAAUUUCAAUAUAAAUAAUUAUUAAAGACAUUAAUUUAUUUAUCAUCCCAUCUAUUUUUCAAAAUUGAUAUAUUUUCAAAUUAAUUAAUUAUUUUCAAUUUGAAAUACUGUUUACACACCCAAAAUAUUAAAAUUUUAAUUAAUUUCAAAUUUUAAAUUAAAAUAUUAAAUCACAUUUGAAAUUAUGAACCAAAUUUAAA